UCAAAGAACAUGUAGAACAUGCACUCAAGAUGACGAAGAAAUGUUCACUGGAGGAAAAUCAGGAUACCCCAUGAUGGUUCAGAUGAUAAAGUCACUUUGGCUUGAGUCACUAAGCAAGAAUGUUGUGAAGCAGUGCCCAAAGCUGGCCUGCUAAGGUCAACAAACUGAAUCUAAUGUCUGAGAAAAAGACACAGGAUCCACGAUGACAGAUCAUACCUAAGAUCCCAUAUUACAUUUUAUCAUCAAGAAAACUUUGCUUCUCAUGGCUUUAACAAUUUCUGAGAACUUUCUUUGUUUUGCUGUCCUUGAGCAUUUAAGACAGAGGAAUAUGGACAUGAGCUGAAUGAUGUGUGGGAAAGACCCUCAGCAAUGGACAGCAAGAAAUUGAAGACUUUGUUCCUGCGACUUCAAGAAAUGGAAAUCUGCCAACAAUACAAGCACCUAGGAAACAGAUGAUCUCCUGAAAUGAAUGUGGCCUGUACACAUCUUGAUUUUAGUCCAGUGAUUCCCAUACUGGACUCCUGGCCUACUGGACUGUAACAACAUGUGUUGUGUUAAACCAUUAGAUUCAUGGUAAUUUGUUACAGCAGCAUUAAGAAAUGAAUACACCAAAUAUCCUCAUGCUUCAAAAUACAGUAGUAUUAAUGAUAAAAAAGGCUUGGUAAUCUUGCUGUACUUUAACUUAACAUUACAAUCUCAAUAUGUUCUGAAAGGUAAAAUCAUGGAAUGAAAUAAUGGAUGGUCAUUAAAACAGUACAGAUUUUGGCACUGAAACCUAUGGAUUUCAGCUAUGCUAAUAAAAGCAUGAAACAAUAGUACUAACCUUCCCCUGCUAUUAUUUUGAGUUAGUGGAGAAUGGUGGUUAUUUUCUAACUCUAGGUCCAUAGCUGAUUAUAAUUCAGUUUUUUUCCAAAUAUUAUGCUGCAUAUAAAAACUCAGGCACCUAACUUAAGAAUAGCUUUUAAGGAAUUGAUUGCCACGAGCAAUCAAUUGAACAUAAACUUAUAUCAUUGAAGAAUGCACAUGAGUGGGAAGAUUGUGCCAGCAAAAUCUAAUGAGGAUAAUGAUGUACUCAAAAUGCAGAAGAGUAAUGGUUUGUUCUUACUAUGCUUCUCAGGUUGGAAUAAAUUAUAUUCUGUUAUGGUCUCAAUAUUCCUUGGGAAGAGAAACUCUGAAAAUAUAUGUUGAAGCUAAAGCAGCAUCAUUGUGUAUUCUUUAUGAGAAUGUAUUUUUAAAAGCAAUAAUCAGAGAAUUAAGAAACUCUAAAUGCCCAUUAGAAUCAGGUAGAAAUCUAAAUUACAAGAUGCUGCAGGAACA